GCAUUAAAGGCAACGCCUGCCCAGUGAAAAUUAAACGGCCGCGGUACCCUAACCGUGCAAAGGUAGCAUAAUCAUUUGUCUAUUAAUUGUAGACCUGUAUGAAAGGCAAAAUGAGAGCCCAGCUGUCUCCUAUAACAAAUCAAUUAAACUGAUCUCCUAGUACAAAAGCUAGAAUACCAACAUAAGACCAGAAGACCCUGUGAAGCUUUAACUAACCUAUUAAACCCAAUAAUAGCUACUUUCGGUUGGGGCGACCUUGGAAUAAAAAAGAACUUCCAACACUAUGACUUAUCAUAAAACAAGGCAAACAGGCCAACAUUAGACCCAGUAUCACUGACAAUUGAAAUAAGUUACUCCAGGGAUAACAGCGCUAUCUUCUUUAAGAGCCCAUAUCAAAAAGAAGGUUUACGACCUCGAUGUUGGAUCAGGGCAUCCUAGUGAUGCAACCGUUACUAAAGGUUCGUUUGUUCAACGAUUAAUAGCCCUACGUGAUCU
rnacentral:rRNA from 1 species